GGUUGAUCCUGCCAGUAGUCAUAUGCUUGUCUCAAAGAUUAAGCCAUGCAUGUGUAAGUAUAAAUAUUAUACAGUGAAACUGCAGAUGGCUCAUUAAAUCAGUUAUAAUUUAUUUGAUGAUCGAGUAAAACUACAUGGAUACCCGUAGUAAUUCUAGAGCUAAUACAUGCGAAGAGUCCUGACUCGUGAGGGAAAGGAUGUAUUUAUUAGAUAAAAAACCAAUAGCCCGCUUGCGGGUUAGUUUGGGCGAUGAAUCGUAGUAACUGUUCGGAGCGCAUGACCUAGUGUCGGC
rnacentral:rRNA from 1 species